rnacentral:rRNA from 1 species
AUUGAACGCUGGCGGCAGGCUUAACACAUGCAAGUCGAGCGGAGAUGAGGUGCUUGCACCUUAUCUUAGCGGCGGACGGGUGAGUAAUGCUUAGGAAUCUGCCUAUUAGUGGGGGACAACAUUCCGAAAGGAAUGCUAAUACCGCAUACGCCCUACGGGGAAAGCAGGGGAUCUUCGGACCUUGCGCUAAGAGAUGAGCCUAAGUCGGAGUAGCUAGUUGGUGGGGUAAAGGCCUACCAAGGCGACGAUCUGUAGCGGGUCUGAGAGGAUGAUCCGCCACACUGGGACUGAGACACGGCCCAGACUCCUACGGGAGGCAGCAGUGGGGAAUAUUGGACAAUGGGCGGAAGCCUGAUCCAGCCAUGCCGCGUGUGUGAAGAAGGCCUUUUGGUUGUAAAGCACUUUAAGCGAGGAGGAGGCUACCUGGAUUAAUACUCUAGGAUAGUGGACGUUACUCGCAGAAUAAGCACCGGCUAACUCUGUGCCAGCCGCCGCAGUAAAAC